CGUCUUUCUCUGGUCCUUCACUCCGUCCUGUGAUGUGACGCAGAUGUUUCCUCCAGGUUAAACUGUUGGUGUGGACUCUGCUAUGAGUCAGUGUGAGGACAGAGAGGAGGGAGCCCCUCCCUCUAAAACCACUCUGUGUGGGGACCAUGACAGCCAGACCAAAGCUCAGAGGAUGCAGCAGCAGAAACCUGGACUUGGACCCAGCUGUGUGUCCAUGAAGAGUGACCGGUCCAUGGAUCGUCCUAUUGACUUUAAAGAUGGACAAACUGCU